CAAUAUUUUCCAUUCCAGUAUGAUAUCUUCUCAUGAGGAGUUAUUUUAAAUUCUUCGAAUUUGGAACUGCCAAAUCAAUUGAUUUUUCUUGGGAUCAAAAAACGGACUUUAAAAUAUGGCCUCACGCCUCGUUUUCGCAACUGCAGCCACUCUGCUCUGGAUAAGAGGCAAUAAGUGACCAGGUUUGACAGGGUUGGGGGUGGAAGUUUCAAUCACGAUCAGCAGGUUUACAGGGCAGCAAGCACAAACCCAAGUGACCAUGGAGUCUGGAUCUGUGGCUCAAGACUCCCUCCUUAAAUGCUGUCACCAAUCAUCCAGAUUUGGAACAUUACCACUACCCAGAUGUUUCUCUAUGCCGAAAUAUCACUGUAUCAACCUCACAGGAGAAUAUUAACUUGGACUCACCAAUAUGGUGGAAUGUUUACCCUUUUCAUUUAUCUUUUUCUCCCUGCUCAUUCUUCAAAUCAAGAGACAAAC
rnacentral:lncRNA from 1 species